UCAAGCUACUAAGGGCAUACGGCGGAUGCCUAGGCGCCAUCAGCCGAUGAAGGACGCGGUAAGCUGCGAAAAGCUACGGGGAACUGCAAGCAAGUAUUGAUCCGUAGAUGUCCGAAUGGGGAAACCCACCUGCCGUCAUGGGCAGGUAUCCGAAAGGAAGGGAACCCGGGGAACUGAAACAUCUAAGUACCCGGAGGAAGAGAAAUCAAACGAGAUGCCCACAGUAGCGGCGAGCGAAGAGGGCAGAGGGCAAACCGGGGAGCUACGGCUCUUCGGGGUUGAGGACUGCAUUUAGUCUUAAUGGUCUAUCCGAACUACCUGGAAAGGUAGGCAACACAGUGUAAAAGCCACGUAGGUUAAAGACCAGAGAGAUGAGCAGUAUCCAGAGUACCACGAGGCACGAGGAAUCUUGUGGGAAGCCGGGGGGACCACCCUCCAACCCUAAACACUGAAUGGCGACCGAUAGCGCAUAGUACCGUGAGGGAAAGGUGAAAAGAACCCCGGGAGGGGAGUGAAAGAGAACCUGAAACCGUAUGUCUACAAGCAGUCGGAGCGAAAGCGACGGCGUGCCUAUUGAAGAAUGAACCAACGAGUUACGUGCACUAGCGAGGUUAAGUGGAAGACACGGAGCCGAAGCGAAAGCGAGUCUUAAGAGGGCGGAUAGUUAGUGUACGUAGACCCGAAACCGCAGUGAUCUACCCAUGUCCAGGUUGAAGCGCAGGUAAAAUUGCGUGGAGGACCGAACCUGUGAGCGUUGAAAAGCUUUAGGAUGAGAUGUGGGUAGAGGUGAAAUUCCAAUCGAACGCGGAGAUAGCUGGUUCUCCCCGAAAUAGCUUUAGGGCUAGCCUCAAGUAGUAAGUAUAGGCGGUAGAGCACUGAUCGGGCUAGGGGCCAUAAAGGUUACCGAACCCUGUCAAACUCCGAAUGGUUAUACUGUAGAGCUUGGGAGUCAGACUACGAGUGAUAAGAUCCGUGGUCAAAAGGGAAACAGCCCAGACCACCAGCUAAGGUCCCCAAUGUCGUACUAAGUGGAAAAGGAUGUGGGGUCUCUAAAACAACCAGGAUGUUGGCUUAGAAGCAGCCACCAUUUAAAGAGUGCGUAAUAGCUCACUGGUCGAGAGACCCUGCGCCGAAGAUUACCGGGGCUAAAGUACGAAACCGAAGCUGUGGCUACGACGUAAGUCGUGGGGUAGGGGAGCGUUCUGUGAGGGCUGAAGUCGUUCUGUAAGGAACGGUGGACUUCACAGAAGUGAGAAUGUUGGUAUGAGUAGCGAAAAGAAUGGUGAGAAUCCAUUCCACCGAAAGCAUAAGGAUUCCUGGGCAACGAUCGUCGUCCCAGGGUAAGUCGGGACCUAAUCCGAGGCAUGGAGCGUAGGAGAUGGACAACUGGCAGAUAUUCCAGUACCGGUAAUGAUUGUUUGAGCGAUGGAGUGACACAGGAGGGCAGGCAGGCAGGAGAUUGGUUGUUCCUGUACAAGCGUGUAGGAUGGGACGUAGGCAAAUCCGCGUCCUGUGAGUCUGAGGCGUGAUGUGGAGGUUCCGGAAACGGAACUGAAGCUGCUGACCCCACACUGUCGAGAAAAGCUUCUAGUUAGAGAAUUACCGCCCGUACCGUAAACCGACACAGGUAUGCGGGGAGAGAAUCCUAAGGUGCGCGGGAGAACCCUCGUUAAGGAACUCGGCAAAAUGUACCCGUAACUUCGGGAUAAGGGUAGCCGCUGUUGUGAAGUCUGAACAGACGGAGCAUGAGGCGGUCGCAGAGAAGAGGCCCAAGCGACUGUUUACCACAAACACAGGUGCCUGCUAAAGAGAAAUCUGACGUAUAGGUGCUGACACCUGCCCAGUGCCGGAAGGUUAAGGAAGGAUGUCCGGAGCAAUCCAAAGCAUUCGACCGAAGCCCCGGUGAACGGCGGCCGUAACUAUAACGGUCCUAAGGUAGCGAAAUUCCUUGUCGGGUAAG
rnacentral:rRNA from 1 species